CAAUAGCAUAUAUGAAUGUUGUUGCAGUUAAAACGCUCGUAGUCGAUAAUGAUGAAUUCGACACCAUUUCAUGGGUUGAAUAUCACAAUCAAACUUACCAAACAUUGGUAAGAAAGAGUGCACUUUUGCAUUCUUGGUGGACAUUCAUGACUUCAUUUGAAGUCAUUGGUCAUUACCUCGAUUGAAUCAGAGUUCUCAACACGGGCGUUAAUAAAUGAUGAGGGAAUGAUCAAGCAUGGGAUAAUACAUAUCACUGUUGACAUAUACGUAUUGGUACUAAGGCCAACACUUACGAGUGAUUAAUAGGAACAGUUGAGGGUUCUAGUACUGAAUGGCGAGAGGUGAAAUUCUUAGACCCAUUCAAGACUUUAUGAGGCGAAAGCAUUUGCCAAGGAUGUUUUCAUUGA
rnacentral:rRNA from 1 species